rnacentral:tRNA from 1 species
GCUCCUGUAGCCCAAUUGGAAGAAGGCAGUAGUUUUAAACACUACGUAGUACUGGUUCAAACCCAGUCAGGAGCA